rnacentral:rRNA from 1 species
GGCCUGGUUUUGGAUUUUGGAUUUUAGAUCCCUCUACAGGGUAGGUAGGGCGGAGCGCGGCGGCGGGGAGCCCUAGGGAGGGUUAGGGGUGGACGAGGAGUAGCUAGGUCUACGGGCGCGGCGGCUAGGUUUUUAGGAGAGCCGGAGGUUGGGCAUCGGGAGGUGGAGAGCUAGAGAGGGGUGGUUGGUCGCGGAGGGGACCUAGGGGAGUAGGUAGAUAACGCCGGCGGAAGCAGGCGCUGGUAUCCUCGUCCUCGAGGAUGUCGGCGAUCGUGGGCUCCGGAGUUGGUGGGCUCGUGGCCGGCCGGUGGCCUCGUGGUGGUGGCCGCUGGUCUUGGUCCGGCAGGGGAUGGAAGGGAAAACAGAGGGUAGAGAGAAAGAACGACGGAGGAGGAGUGGUGAAAAGCACGACGAAGUCCCCGAGCGGUACCUAAACCUCGUCGCGACGGGGCUCGAGACGGAACGACGGCAAAACGUGGGCGAGGUCGGUCCUUUGCCUGCCUAGGCAGAAGGGACGCAGGCAGGGGACGGAGAGGCGGAACGGCCUCAGGUUCUGUAGCGGCUUGGGAAGCGACGAACCUCGGAGCCGAGUGUGGCGGGCCCAGGGCGUAGGGGCGGCCUGGAGGGGUCGAACACCUCGGGGUUCUGGGGCGGCGGUUCGGUCGGCCCUUGGGGGCUCCUCGCGGCAGUUAGCAGGAGCAAGAGGUGUGGGCCUAAGGCAGUAGGAACUGGCCUAGAGACGAGGUAGGGCGCUGGGGCUCGAGCGGGCAAGCAAAGGAGACGAGCUCGUUGUCCUGUUCGCGGGAGGACCGGCGCAUGCAGGGGCAACUGGGCUCGGAGGAGGAACGGAGCGGACCUGGCGUUCUCGGUUCCGGGCCGUAGUUGCCGCGGUGAGGUUCCGGGUCGGCCGGACGGGCGAUCCGGUGUCGGUCGAAGGGAGUCGGCGUAGGUGGCUGGCCCGGCUUCGGGUACCAACACGAAGAGGAACUAUCAAGGUCAUUACAACGCUGACAGUCCUAGGCAAGCUGAUACAACCAGCAUAUGAACUACCUAAGUCAGAAGAAGGAUCGCCCUAAAGUCAACGUCCAUGUCCAUUUCACUACGAAACUGUACUCUCGCUACGAACGAACAAAACCUCAAGAAGGCGAAGAAGAAGAAACUAGUUCCCUAUCCAAAGCCCAGCCCUCUGACCUUAAUCGUCCCACCUACAACAAGAAAAAGCAAAGUAAAGUAGGCAUCAGUCUAGAACGAGAAGAUAUACUACUAACGAUAGAUAGCUACAUAAGUACAUAAGUACAACAUCGAACACCGCUCACAUUCGAAAAUAGAACAUAAGAGUAGAUAAGUCAUGUACCAUACAACAUUACUAUAGGUGGAACGAUACGCGAACUUUACGCCAACACGGGAUUAGUACUCAAGUAGUACACUAACCCUAUCUUAGCUUAGAACCUUAAUAG